GAUUCUGGCUCAGGAUGAACGCUAGCGACAGGCUUAACACAUGCAAGUCGAGGGGCAGCAUAAAAGUAGCAAUACUUGGUGGCGACCGGCGCACGGGUGAGUAACGCGUAUGCAACCUACCUAUCAGAGGGGAAUAACCCGGCGAAAGUCGGACUAAUACCGCAUAAAACAGGGGCACCGCAUGGUGAUAUUUGUUAAAGAAAUUCGCUGAUAGAUGGGCAUGCGUUCCAUUAGGUAGUUGGUGAGGUAACGGCUCACCAAGCCGACGAUGGAUAGGGAACUGAGAGGUUGGUCCCCCACACUGGUACUGAGACACGGACCAGACUCCUACGGGAGGCAGCAGUGAGGAAUAUUGGUCAAUGGGCGGGAGCCUGAACCAGCCAAGUCGCCGUGAAGGAAGAAGGAUCUAUGGUUCGUAAACUUCUUUUGCAGGGGAAUAAAGUGCGGGACGUGUCCUGUUUUGUAUGUACCCUGAGAAUAAGGAUCGGCUAACUCCGUGCCAGCAGCUGC
rnacentral:rRNA from 1 species